rnacentral:tRNA from 1 species
GCGCUCGUAGCUCAAUUGGAUAGAGCGCUUGGCUUCGGACCAAGAGGUUCUGGGUUCGAUUCCUGGCGGGCGCACCA